rnacentral:rRNA from 1 species
UUAGGUCAAGCUACAAAGGGCGCAUGGUGAAUGCCUUGGCAUCAGGAGCCGAUGAAGGACGCGAUAAGCUGCGAUAAGCUUCGGGUAGACGCACAUAGUCAGAGAUCCGAAGAUUUCCGAAUGAGGAAACUCACAUGGGAAACCCCAUGUAUCAUAAAGUGAAUACAUAGCUUUAUGAAGGUAUACCCAGGGAACUGAAACAUCUAAGUACCUGGAGGAAGAAAAAGAAAAAUCGAUUUUCUUAGUAGCGGCGAGCGAAAAGGAAAGAGCCCAAACCAGAGAUUUAUCUCUGGGGUUGCGGACAGAACAUAACGAGAAAUCAUAGUUAAUUGAACACAACUGGAAAGUUGGACCAUAGGGGGUAAUAGUCCCGUAAGUGAAAACUAUGAUAAUCAGUUCUGCACCAGAGUAC